CUGAGGCAGGAGAAUCACUUGAACCCAAGAGGAUGAGGUUGCAUUGAGCCGAGACUGCAUGAUUGCACUCCACCUAGGGCGACAAAAGCGAAACUCCAUCUCAAAAAAAAAAUACAAUAAUCAUUUUAUUAUUGCUUGUGGUUUUAUGAGAUGGCUGGGCUCAGCUGGGCAGCUCUUCUGCUGGUAGUUCUUGAGGCCUUUUAUAUGUUUGUGGUCAAGUGGGUCUAGGGUUCAACUUUGCUGAGGCUUAACUAGGACUUGAUGACUAGACCGCUUUUCCAAAUGUUAGGACUUUUCACUCCUUGUGGCCCUUUGUGUAGCUUCUCCAUGUGCUUUCUUCACCAUUCCAAAGGAAGGACAGAGAACUGCCAGUCCUCUUAGAGACGAGGCAGGACAUGGACAUAAUGUCACCACUGCUGCCUUCACCACACUGAGGACUCUCUUCUAUUUUAUGUUUCUAAUUUUUUGAUUAUGAUGACUCUUUUGAUGAUAUGAACUACCUGCCCCUUAAGCCUUCUCUGAAUAGCACUUAUCAACUCAAGCUAGGUCUGAUCACUGUCUUCUGUGUGCCCUGAACAUAGGUUUUGGUUUAGUUGCCACUUUUUCCCCAGCUAGACUAGAAGCUAACAAAUGGUCAUGCCUUUCUCACUCUUUUUCCUUAGGGCUAGCAAGAGGUGUUGCUGGACACAUAGUAGGCAAGUAGUAAGCAUUUAUUGAAUCAAUGAAUGAAUGAAUGAGCUUAUUUAUACCUAUGAGGUCUAUUCCAGCUGAGGUGAUCACCAUAAGGAUUUUUGUGGAACACACUCCAGCAAGUUCAACCAAGUGACAUCUGAUAUCUUUUCCAACUAAGAAAUUUUAUGAAUCUUGAUCAAGAGAGGGGACAGCUUUGGGGCAAGAGUGGGAGGAUGUGUUGUGAGAGAUAAUGCAUGAGGAAGUAUUUUUAAAAUUACAAAAUGUAAGAGCAAGUAUUAUUAGUCUCUCAAUUUCAAGAUCCCAGUGGAUAGCUAUACCACAGGACUUAAAUCCAAGAUUACCUUGUGAUGUUUGGAGAGGAGAGAGUUAAAGAUUAGUUCCAAGUUACAUAAUAUGAAAUAAGAAAAAGACAAACAAGUUCUUUUGACCUCACUUAAGUUUUACUUGACCUUUGAAUACAAAAUAACGCAUGAGCAGCUGCCCCAAAUGUUACCCUUUUUUCCAUGAUAGAAAAUAGAAAAACAUUUCCAACAAUUGUUUAUAUCAUGUUUUUCUUUUGGAACUGUGUGUAUGAUCAGAUGCCUCAGAAAACACCAAAGAUAAUGAAAAAGCCCUUGGUUCCUGAAGAAGAAAGGUUAAGGGUCCAUUUCCCUUUCAUCGCUAGAGGCCAUUGUAAAGUAAUACAUAUUUUAAUCGCUUAUGGAAUAAUUUCUAUUGACCUUUGUGUGUUUGAGUAACUCUAAAGCUUAGUCUCUUUUUCCUAAUCACCUAAUUUAUUCUCACGUAUAAAGUAGCGUACAGUAGUCAUGCAUUAAAGUUACUUAUCACUGAUUUAGGUGUUUUUUUUUUUAAAGGAGGCAGCUUAGUCUUAUCUGCAGUUCCAGCAAUGAAUAAUCUGACAGUCAGAUAUUUCAAAAUACUUAACGACUUUUUGCCCUUAACUGCAGCUGCUACAGAAAAGAAAAAAGCAAUACUCAACUGGAGCUUUCCCAAUGCCAGGCACCUUCACAGCAUGGAGGACCUCACCAUGAGGGAGGCAGAUGUGGUGUUUAUAGAAGAAUGAGAUCAACAAACAAGAAGUUAAAUAUGGAGCAAGAUGGCUUCAAGAAUCCAGUACAUGCUGUAAAGGAGGCGAAUCAGGGUGUUAAGACUGUUCAUGUGUCGCGAAGGCAUGCGAGGAGCCAACAUUCAAGCUAAGAGCUAAACAAUGGGAGAAGUCAGUUGUUAGUGGAUGAGCUACAGACAGAGGGACAAAGGAGUGACAGCAGAGAGAUGUGCAACAGAGAGAAAUGCAAUGCAAUAUGAGUUCUGAUGGUAGCACCUAUGCCAUGCUGAUGAGUUCCUUUGAGGGCUGUGCCAUCCUGGGUGUUAUCAUUGUCUGCCUGGCCAUUUCCCCUCUUGAGGACAUGUUACCAACUGCUGUGAUUGAGAAUUCAGGGGACCACACUAACAUCAGAGGAAACUAGUGCACACUAACCUCUUGCAUAAAGUGAAAGGAAAUUGAUCUACCACCAAGAUUCUUAUAAGUGAUGUUUUUCCCAAUCCCUGACCAUGGCCAGUGUCAUGAAGUUGUCAUUGCAAUUGGACUCAGAACAUUAGGGGCCUGGAGAAAGAAAUACAGGAUUAGGUCUUCUAAGCCUUUGUUUAUACCCUGGGUCCUUUUAAAAUUCCUAUUUCAGACUCUGGGCCUGUGGUCCUUCCUAAAAUGUACAACUAAAGCAAUUCUCUAAGGGUUGAAGUUUUUUUAGAGGGACAUUAAAUGGUUUUUCUUCAAAAAUUUGACUCAAAGAAGGAAGGGACCAAAGAUAUACACAUAUUCUUUGGUACCGUUACUUGCACUUAGAAUCUGCAUGAAAAUGUUUAAAUAGCUACCCCAGGCUUACAGCUUGUGGGCUGAGCUUUUUAUCCCUAUCUCCUGGUGCUCACCUCUUUGUCUAAUUCCUUCCCCUUGAGUAUGGGCAGGACCUGUGAUUGCUUUUAACCAAUAGAAUACAGCAAAAAGAGUGGGCCAUUGUUCCCAUGGUUCUAUUAUGUAAGGUUUUGUUUUGGUUGCCAACAUGAGAGACUCUCCUUGCUGGCUGGAUGAAGUAAGCAGGCAUUUUGAGGAAGCUAUGUGGCAUGGGUUAACAGGCAGCCUCUAGGAGCUAAGGACAGCCUCCCAACAUCAGAAAGAAGCCAAGGGCCUCAUUCUCACAACCUCAAAGAAAUAAAUGCUGCCAAUAACUGGAGUGAGCUUGGAAGUGGAUUCUUCCCCACUCCAGCCUCCAGAUGAGAACACAGCCUGGUCAAUACCUUGAUUAUAGCUCUGUAAGACCCUGAGCAGAAGACCCAGUAAAGUUGUGUCCAGAUUCCUAAUACCUCAAAACUGUGAAAUAAUUAAUGCGUGCUGUCAUAAACCUCUAUGUAGGGGUAAUUUGUUAUGUGGCAUAGCAAACUAAUACAUUUAUGAAUCUAUUUAACCUGGGAUUGAUAAAAGCAGUGGCUUUGGCUAGGUUGGAUAUUUUCAUGGGCAGCAGUUCUCUAAGUGACUUAUGGGUCUGUGAGGUGAAAUCUCCAUGGUCUGGGGCUUGGCUGUGGGCAGGAGAGAUGACCCAGAGUCAAGAUAGAGAGUGGCCAAGACCAGCCCUUAGGCCAAACCCCAGCCUGCCUCCACCCACAAGAGGGAAAUGGUCUUCCAGUAAGUUAUUUAUAGGCAACAGAGGUUGUUAGCAGCCAGCAGAAAAAGCUUACAUUUGGGAAGAAAAAGUACCAAGAUAGCAAAAGUGAAGAAAAGACUAGUGGUAAAGAAAAAAGAGAUAAGAAAUGGUAGGAAAGAUUUUCAAUAAGAGGUGACGGGUCUGGGCUAAUAUGAAUGGGGUUACCCUAAUCAGACCUAAUCAGGACAGGGAUACCCUAAUCAGACUUAAUCUCAAUGGGAAUACUUAAAUCAGACCUAAUCUGGAUGGAGACACCCCCAGUGAGGCCCCAUCUGGAUGAGUACACCCCAAUCAGACCCAAUCUGGACAGGAACACCCCAGUCAGACCCAACCUGGAUGCAAAUGGCCAAUCAGAUUUCAUCUGGAUGGGGACACCCUAAUCAGACCUAAUCUGGAUGGGGAAAGCCCAAUCAGAACUAAUCUGGAUGGGAGAUACCCACCAACUCUUGCUCCCUAGCCAGCUAAAUUGCCAACUCCAAGAAUUUAUAAAGAUCCUAUUAAAAAAAUAAUAACAUUAGGAAAGCAACCUCUGGCACUUACAGCAGAAAACUAGAACUCAUUCAUUUAAAGAACAGCUUUAGAAUUUUCUAAAUCAUAGAAAGCCUUCCUUCUCUCACAAGCUAAUUCUGCAAAGGAUCAAAUACAGAUUUAUGGGGGUGGUUCUAGGAGUCUAAUUGAAAAGUAAAGGAAAUUCAUGACUGUGCUUCAGUUCCUUUAUUUUCUUUGGAGGCAAAGCAUCAGUGCUGGCCCUGAACGAACAAGUAUAACCAACUUCCAGCCCUGUGUGAGAUAUUACUGGUAUUGUCUUUUUCUGCAUCAAAAAGGUCCUUUGCAUCUGUGGAACUUCUACAGGGUCAUGAGUCAACUUUCUACCUAUACUUUUUGAGUAGGGUUGCCAGACUGAGCAAAUAGAAAUACAGGGCACUAAAUUAUAUUUUAAUUUCAGAUCAACAAAAAAUAAUUUCUCAGUAUAAUUCUAUGUCAAAUAUUGCUUGGGACAUACUUAUCCUAAAACCAAAAUUCAUUGUUAAUCUGAAAUUCACAUUUUAUUGGGCAUGCUGUAUUUUUAUCUGCAGUCCUAUCAUAGACGCAUUUCAAUGAAAAAUGCAAGCCCCCCCCACCCCAAACAUGUGUUUGAAGUUUUCUUUUAGGAACAUCAUUCCACUGUAAGAGCUUUAAAAAAGAAAAGCCAAGAUUAUUAGUAAGGAUUCUAGGCAUCUAUAUGUAGUUUUAACUUUACCUUAUUAGAUAAGAAUUAAUUUUUAGCUAGAUUAUCUGGCCGAUGAACUAUGAUGAAUAUAAACAAUUGAGGAUCUCAUAGUACCUGUUCUUCAGUAUUUUAUAUAAGAAGGAAAUGUAAAAUAAAUUUGACUUUGAAUGUCAGUA